rnacentral:tRNA from 1 species
GUGAGCAUAGUUUAGCAAAAACGUCAGAUUGUGAUUCUGAAAAUAGAAGUUAAAAUCUUCUUGCCCACC